rnacentral:rRNA from 1 species
UGAGGAACAUGACCUUCGGCGGGGGAUAGCCGGCCCAACGGCCGGGUAAUACCGCGUACGACCACAUGGGGACAUCCCUGAGUGGUGAAAGCAGCAAUGCGCCGAUGGAGUGCCUCGCGGCCUAUCAGCUAGUUGGUGAGGUAACGGCUCACCAAGGCGACGACGGGUAGCCGGCCUGAGAGGGUGACCGGCCACACUGGGACUGAGACACGGUCCAGACCUCCGUACGGGAGGNACG